GGAUCAUCAGGUUGGUCGUGCCUCUGGUAUGUACUUUCCUCGAUGGUUCCUCCUUCUUGAAGAUCCGUAAUGUCAUUAAUUUGGUGUUGCGGGGAAUCAGGACUGUUACUUUGAAAAAAUUAGAGUGUUUAAAGCAGGCAAUCGCUUGAAUACAUUAGCAUGGAAUAAUGAAAUAGGACGUUCGAUCCUAUUUUGUUGGUUUCUAGGAUUGACGUA
rnacentral:rRNA from 3 species